rnacentral:rRNA from 1 species
UACGUAGGGUGCAAGCGUUGUCCGGAAUCACUGGGCUUAAAGGGCGCGUAGGCGGGUUCGCAAGUCUGUGGUGAAAGCCUCCAGCUUAACUGGAGAAGUGCCGUGGAUACUGCGAAUCUUGAGGAGGGUAGGGGCGUCUGGAACGGUCGGUGGAGCGGUGAAAUGCGUUGAUAUCGACCGGAACUCCGGUGGCGAAGGCGAGGCGCUGGACCCUUUCUGACGCUGAGGCGCGAAAGCCAGGGGAGCAAACGGG